rnacentral:misc_RNA from 1 species
AAGGAAUUCAACUCACCCUUGCCAAUUGUCAAAUAAGAAUUUGUAGAAACUAACAAUUGUAGUGAAGCCAACUGACAGGUUUUUGCCAUUAGGGAAUUCAAUUGGCUGUUGUUUGCCACUCCCAUAUUUUUAGGAUCACCCAAAUCAUUCCACCCUUCCCCUUCCAAUGGAUGUUCAGUCCCUGCUACCUUAAAUCCCAUCUUCAUCAUUUGAAAGUUCCAUGUAAUCUCCUUGAGAGUGGCUAGGCAUUGAAUGCUUGAAAUUAGAUCAUAAUUCUCCAAGGUUAGAAGUAAGACAUUGGCAGUGAAAGAUUGCCCUUGCAUACCCCCUGAA